rnacentral:rRNA from 1 species
UGAAUACGAGAUGCUACGGCGUCGAAGCAGUCUAUGUCAUACUUCCAAGAAAAGCUCGCACUGUCAUAAACAAAUAAUGCCUGUACCAUAACCGACACAGGUGGGUAGGUAGAGUAUACUAAGGGGCGCGAGAUAACUCUCUCUAAGGAACUCGGCAAAAUGACUCCGUAACUUCGGGAGAAGGAGUGCCUUAUUUAUAAGGUUGCAAUAACAAGAUCCAAGCAACUGUUUAUCAAAAACACAGGUCUCCGCUAAGUCGUAAGACGAUGUAUGGGGGCUGACGCCUGCCCAGUGCCAGAAGGUUAAAGAAGUUGGUUAGCAUUCGCGGAGCUGAUAACUGAAGCCCUGGUGAACGGCGGCCGUAACUAUAACGGUCCUAAAGUAGCGAAAUUCCUUGUCGGGUAAGUUCCGACCCGCACGAAAGGCGUAAUGAUUUGGAUACUGUCUCGGAGAGGGGCUCGGUGAAAUAGACUUGUCUGUGAAGAUGCGGACUUCCUGCACCAGGACAGAAAGACCCUAUGAAGCUUUACUGUAACUUGAGAUUGAAAUUGGACUUUACUUGCGCAGUAUAGGUGGGAGGCGUUGAUAAUAUUCUUGCGGGAUUAUUUGAGCCGUCAGUGAGAUACCACUCUUGUAAUGUUAGAUUUCUAACUUUGUAUCAUUAUCUGGUCAAAGGACAGUUUCAGGCGGGCAGUUUGACUGGGGCGGUCGCCUCCUAAACGGUAACGGAGGCGCACAAAGGUUUCCUCUGAACGGGUAGAAAUCGUAUCUAGAGUGUAAAGGCAUAAGGAAGCUUGACUGUGAGACCUACAAGUCGAGCAGGGACGAAAGUCGGUCUUAGUGAUCUGACGGUGCUGAGUGGAAAGGCCGUCACUCAACGGAUAAAAGUUACUCUAAGGAUAACAGGCUGAUCUCCCCCAAGAGUUCACAUCGACGGGGAGGUUUGGCACCUCGAUGUCGGCUCAUCGCAUCCUGGGGCGGUAGUACGUCCCAAGGGUUGGGCUGUUCGCCCAUGAAAGCGGUACGCGAGCUGGAUUCAGAACGUCGUGAGACAGUUCGGUCCAUAUCCGGUGUAGGCGUUAGAAUAUUGAGAGGAGCCUUCUUUAGUACGAGAGGACCGAGAAGGACAUACCUCUGGUGUACCAGUUAUCGUGCCAACGGUAAACGCUGGGUAGCUAUGUAUGGAGUGGAUAACCGCUGAAAGCAUCUAAGUGGGAAGCCCACCUCAAGAUAAG